GCUUUACUGUAACUUGAAAUUGAAAUUGGACUUUAUUUGCGCAGUAUAGGUGGGAGGCGUUGAGUUUAUUCUUGCGGGAAUUUAGGAGCCAUCAGUGAGAUACCACUCUGGUAAUGUUAGAUUUCUAACUUUGGAUCAUCAUCUGGUCAAAGAACAGUUUCAGGCGGGCAGUUUGACUGGGGCGGUCGCCUCCCAAAUGGUAACGGAGGCGUACAAAGGUUUCCUCUGAACGUGUAGAAAUCGUAUCUAGAGUGUAAAGGCAUAAGGAAGCUUGACUGUGAGACCUACAAGUCGAGCAGGGACGAAAGUCGGUCUUAGUGAUCUGACGGUGCUG
rnacentral:rRNA from 1 species